UGAUCUAUUAAUUAUUCGAUUGAGAAAGUGUUUUCGCAUAAUUAUGAAAAAAAAAAAGAAUCGUAAAAUCGUAUUCAAUUCUCAACGGAAUUUCCAAGAGUCAAAUAAAUAUCACGGAAUUUCAGUAAUAACCCGAAAGAAGAAUACGGUGCAAUCCCGAGGAUUCUAGAUUUAUUCCGACAUAAACGCCCGUAUUCGAACUUGCCUGGAAACUGAUUACGUUCACGAGGUGACGCACAGGAGAAUAGGCGUGCUCUCUCACAGGUAGACGGUGCUUGGUCGAAGGUGCGCCGUCAUAAAUCUGCCAAGAAAUGACUCACCCCUUGGACGAUGGAGACGAGCUUCUGGCACUAUAUGCACAACGACGAUGAACGCUUGAAGCAUCAGUGGAUAACGCAUGGUUGCAGUCAGGCCGGGAUACGCCAACUUUUAAUUUACGAGAUUAUAACGUUGUUGACGAAGAAUUAUGUUCUUAAGUUGUGCAAGUGGAGAGCAAUCGUUGAAAAGUUAUUAAAAUAAUUGUUUAAUUGAUUCGUCGAAAAUCCAAACACGCCGCUAUUCGUCGAACAAAAAUCCGAAUAGGAUAAGACGACAAAUCCGAGGUUUAAUCUCGAGUGAAAAGAAAAAAAAAACGUUCGAAACAACCCAACACAGUUCGGAUUAGAACACCAGGGCGAUAAAACGUUUAGAGGCGGGAUUCGAGGACACAAGGCCAAACCGAUCGAUAUCUAAAAGAAGAAGAAGCUUAAAACUGGAACGAGUCUUUCUUUGUUGUUGUAAAAAACAAAGUUCGAAAUUGACGAUUCUCAGAUUAUUUUUCCUACAGGCAGAGAAAGAAUGGUGAGUUUUUCACCGGCUUGGAAUAACAAGGAAAGGAGAGGAAUAAUCCCUGCGAAAAGAAAGGAAUUGAAGUUGAGUUGCAGCUUGGUCGGUAAGGAAGGAAGGAAGAAAAGAAGGAAGGAAAAGGCGGGAUGCUUUCGUAGCAGCAGCUUUGCGUCCCAAGGCAUGAAGCUUGUUACGCGAGAUUCCUCUGGUGGUCAGGCGGAGUAAUGCUCGGUAGUUAUGGUAAUCGGAUUUGAACGAGAGCCCCCAUGAUUGGACUCGAUACAACCCUACCUACCUCUCCCUCCCCUCCCUCCCUCCCUGUGAAUAGCCGGAUUUAUUUUGUAUUAUCACGUGUCCCCGCGUUCCCAAUUAUUUGCCGCUCCAGUUUCAUUAUAUUAUCCACAGGGGGCGCUGCAAAAUGCUGGAAAAUUAUUGCGAGCCAACCACAGACGACGAUGGUCGCGAAAACAAGAAAAUUUGAUCGGUUUGAGCAGAUUCUCCUCCAACGAAAAUUUUUCCAAGUUGGUAUUAUAAUCAAUCGAUCCGAUAUGAAAUCGAGGCAAUUAUAUUUUAAACUGUGCGAAGAACAAAGAAACUCAUGAAUAAUAAUCGAAUCUGCGUUUCUUCUUCGCGACUGUCGAUUAUCGAAUCGAAUAAAUGAAAAAGAGGCGACGAAGGAAAAGAAAAAAAGGAAAAAUUAGCAAUCGAGCCGAUUCGAAGUCGGAGCACGGAGAAAAUAAAUGUUAAUUGCCAUUGCAAAUGUAUCGAAAGUUCGCUCGUGUUGAUAGCUAUCCCCGCGUGGCUAAUUACUGAUCUCGUAGACAGAGGGAGAAAGAGAGAGUUAAUCAACUGACUUUGAUUUCCCCAAACCCUUUCGGUAUUCCGCACCGUUUGCCACCCUUCUGUUGCUAAUUGGGACAAGGGCUGAUAGAUAUACACGUAGAAUUGCGCGUGCACAGGCGUUAAAUUUAUUUCAAACUGAAAAUUUCAAUCGAUUGACAAUAAUUCGUUGAUUGCAAAGGUAAAUUAUCGAAUAUCGGUAAUUUUAAUACCCGUUGAAAUUGUGGAUUCAGUCUUAUUACUGUUAUUACCUUUUUUUUUUUUACUUUUAAGAUAGAUUAUGCAAUAAUUGGAAAUUACAAAAAUUGUACAAUUGUAUCAUAUUUUUCUCUAUAAGGUUAGAAUUUGAUUGCUAAAGAAUUUGAUGCUUAAAUUUCAUAUUUUAUUAGUAAAAGAUUAGGUUAUGUUAGGUUAGGAAUUAAUUGGCCUCUCUAUAAGGUUAGAAUUUGAUUGCUAAAUGGUUACUAUAUUUUAUAUUUUAUUAGUUUAAAAGAUUAGGUUAUGUUAGGUUAAGAAUUUUGUGAUAUCAAAGUAUUGUCAGAUGUUAUUUAAUAUAUUAUAAUUCUUAUUUAAUUAUAAUUUCAUAUUUUAUUAGUAAAAGAUUAGAUUAGGAAUUAAAUUGGCCUUUUUAUAUUAUUAUAUUUAUUGUUAGGAAUUUUGUGAUAUCAAAUUAUUGUCAGAUGUUAUUUAAUAUAUUAUAAUUCAUAUUUUAUUAGUAAAAAAUUAGGUUAUGUUAGGAAUUAAAUUGGCCUUUUUAUAUUAUUACAUUUAUUGUUAGGAAUUUUGUGAUAUCAAAUUAUUGUCAGAUGUUAUUUAAUAU
rnacentral:lncRNA from 1 species